GGGGACUUAGCUCAGCAGUAGAGCGCUUGCCUAGCGAGCGCAAGGCCCUGGGUUCAAUCCCCAGCUCCG
rnacentral:tRNA from 1 species